rnacentral:rRNA from 1 species
UACGUAGGGGGCAAGCGUUGUCCGGAAUCAUUGGGCGUAAAGGGCUCGUAGGCGGCCAACUAAGUCAUACGUGAAAUCCCUCAGCUAAACUGGGGAACUGCGUGUGAUACUGGAUGGCUUGGAUUUGGGAGAGGGAUGCGGAAUUCCAGGUGUAGCGGUGAAAUGCGCAGAUAUCAGGAGGAACACCGAUGGCGAAGGCAGGUCUCUGGGCAUUAACUGACGCUGAGGAGCGAAAGCAUGGGGAGCGAACAGG